rnacentral:rRNA from 1 species
UCGAGGAUCUUUUGCAAUGCGCGAAAGCGUGACAAUGCGACGCCGCGUGAGCGAUGAAGGCCUUCGGGUUGUAAAGCUCUGUCAGCUUGGAGGAAAGCAUUCUUUCUAACAAAUAGAGUGUUUGACAUUACAAGCAGAGGAAGCCACGGCUAACUCCGUGCCAGCAGCCGCGGUAAUACGGAGGUGGCAAGCGUUGUUCGGAUUUAUUGGGUGUAAAGGGCAUGUAGGUGUUCUUUUAAGUCCUCUUUGAAAUACUAUGGCUUAACCAUAGCACUGGGGAGGAAACUAAAAGGAUUGAGUACGGAAGAGGAGAGUGGAAUUCACGGUGUAUGGGUGAAAUCAGUAGAUAUCGUGAAGAACACCAGUGGCGAAAGCGACUCUCUGGUCCGAAACUGACACUGAAAUGCGAAAGCUAGGGGAGCAAACA